UCCUACUCACAAGGGGCCUUU
rnacentral:misc_RNA from 1 species